AUAGAAAUAAUGUUGUUUAUUUCUCUAAAUAUAGAAGGACACGGACGCGGGAUAUAAAUAGAUACAAAACAAAUAUUAUUAACAAUGGAUGCUAUUAUGGAAAAAUCAUUAUGGUGAGAUGGUAAGUCAAACUGGGAAAAAUUAAGGGACUUUUUGAUGAGUAUGGCAACACCGCCAUACCCAUCGGCUCUAUCUUCCCUGAGACAGGAAUAACCAGGAAUUUUAAAACAAAAUUCCGGUUUUAACCACGUCUCACAUAGAGCUAUAACACAAGGGUUAAAUUUGUUAAUAAGAUAAAUUAAAUCAGAUUUGUUCUUCACUACGCUUCUGCAGUUCCAUUGUAGUACUUUGCCUAAGUGAGCCAUUGUUAAAUAUGUCAGUUAUUAUUUUCAAUAAAGGGGCAACGUUGGACGGUAAAAUUGUUUGUGACAGUGAUGAAACUAAAGCUAUAAUAAUAUCAGCCACCGAUUGUGGUUCUGGCAGGGUACCAGUUUUAGGAAGUGCACACCCAUCAGCAUAAGUGGGAGAGUUGAAAUCACCCACAAGAGCUUGGUGGGCUGCACGAUCAUAACCUUGUAUCGAUUUAGGCGGAGAACGGGGCUUCAGAAAAACAGUUUUUAUAAGAGUUACUGUGCAAUGGUUGAGUGGCUGGAGUUUUGAUAUCUUGGCUGUUGGCUACAAAAGAAGAUGGGGGUGUAAACUUUAAUGUGUCAGCAUAUGAUUUUGUCACCGGAGGAUGUAUCUUUGAUGCUUCUGAGUAUGAAACGCAAUUUUGGGCCAUAUACUUUUUUAUAUUUGUCUGCCUACUGGCUUCUGGACAAACCUUUCUAAUUGCAAUAUGGGGGCCGCCACAAAGACAACAAUAACUAUUAUCUUGGUCGCAAUCACAAGAUGUACCAGUAUGCCCUUGCCCACAUUUAUAGCACCUUGGUUUAGAUCUGCAUGUAUCUUUAGUGUGUCCAUACCGGCAACAAUUGUAGCAUUGAAUUGACGGAUAAAUGUAUAGUUCUACUUUGAGGGAAUUAAAACACAUAAAUACUCUUGUGGGAAGGACCUGACCAUCAAAAACAUGUCCACCGGUACACCUCUUACGAGCCCCAUCCUGGUAACAUUAAAAGAUGGAAUAAAAGCUUCAUAACCUUUUUCCAAUAAGGCAUGAUGUUUUUAAGAAAGAAUUUGCAGCUGAGUGACUUGUGAAUGCCAUUGAAAUUUUGUUGCGACCGAUACGCUUCAAACUGCCUUGUACUAUGUUUGGCACCUGGUUUUUAUACAAAAAUCUGCCAAAGCAUAUUGGAUGCAAAUUAAGAUCCUGUGUUACCUCUCCUGUACUAGACCUAGCAACAUGAAUAAUAAAUGGUGAAGCAUCCAA